AGUAACAGUCAGAAAUGACUGCUAAUACCGCAUAAGACCACAGCACCGCAUGGUGCAGGGGUAAAAACUACCGGUGGUACAGGAUGGACCCGCGUCUGAUUAGCUGGUUGGUGAGGUAACGGCUCACCAAGGCGACGAUCAGUAGCCAGCUUGAGAGAGUGAACGGCCACAUUGGGACUGAGACACGGCCCAAACUCCUACGGGAGGCAGCAUG
rnacentral:rRNA from 1 species